CUCCACGCCCAGCUCCCCCCUGGAGCGCUCGCCGCCGGGCAGCGCGCUCUUCGACGGCGGCAGCCCCCGCGGCAAGCGCAGCCCCGGCCGCGAGCCGCCCUUCCUGCCGCGCGCUCCCUCGGCCUCGGCGCUCAGCGGCCCCGCCGCCGCCAACAGCAUCUUCUCGUCGCCCCGCCGCUGGCUGCAGCAGCGCAAGGGACAGCCCUCGCCGCCCGGCUCGCGCCCCGCCGCCUACGUCGUGCGCAAGUCCGAGUUUUCAGGGUGGUGGACUCAGGCAAAAUUAUUCUCAAGCCAUCUAAUUAUUGAUAAUGCAGUAUCCAGAGAAGAGUUUACUCUGUUCUCAUUGGAGUGAUCUCAAAUGAAAUACAGCGAACACUGGAUGUAGAGAUUAGUGAAACAAAAAUACAUUUAUAAGAAGAUAGCUCUGGGAUUUUGUAGCAUUCCCCGGUAAAGCUCAGGAAGACGUUAGUAAUAUGCAGCACACAUUACUCAUCCCAUGUUGGAAGAAGUGGGGAAAAAAAACACAACAGAAAACUUGGUAUUAUUGGAAUGAAAGAAACUUUCUGCCCUGAUUCUACCAUGUGAAGCUAUAUGGAGAAAGACUAUGGGAAUUUGUCAAGUACAAACAGCUGUGACAUCUGUCUUAGAUUUUGAAGAUUGAUGGAAUUUUUGUAAUACAGAACAUUUUAAUUACUUAAUGCAAAUGUUGGUGCAUUUUUAUCAACAAUUUUACUUUUUACAUUGAUGUCAUAGUGUUGAAAAACACUGCAUCAUAUAUGGAAGUAGAAACUGUCCAUGAACUUCCAUUAUAAAAUGCCCCUGAUGGAGUAGAACAUUUCAAUUUUUUAUCACAUACACAACAGCAUUAUGACAGGCUGGCUAAAUACAGUAAAACUGGACAAGAAGAACGUGGGUCCAUAGCUUUCAUUUUUCUGAAUUACAUAACUGCUUCAUAAAACUAACCUCCUUAAGGACAGAGGAUCAAAUUCUCAUCUCUCAACUUAGCUGGAGUUACCCCAACAAAUCUGGAAUGCUUCAGUAGACUCUGAGUCCUUCAAACUCUUCAUCUUUGUGUAAGCUUGCGUAGCAUGAGCCACCUGCUCUCGUGGAAGCUGUCAGCCUGCAGUGAUAGGAACAGUGAACAGAACUGCAUCCUCAAGAGGAGCCUUGCUGGAACUCCCUAAAAGGAAGGAGUGCUGAAUGGCUGUCUCACAGUGGGAGCCUGGCUGAUGGGUGAAACAGGCAGAAAGACCAAAAAGCUGCCAGAGAAGGAGAAACAACGAGAUCAAAGUGAACCAACUUACCUGUCUCACUACAUCUGUUUUUCUUGCUAUUUUUUUUUGUCUUUUUAUCCUUUUUCUCACUUAAGGGAAUAUAUAUUAUAA
rnacentral:lncRNA from 1 species